ensembl:lncRNA
GGGAAAGAAAGCCUAUCACAGUGAAGCUGUCCUUUAGCUAUUCUAGUACUCCAGCAUAUAUGUAUAUAUGUUAGACAUCUACCACUUCAAUGUUCCUGGAUGUCUAUUAUAAGACAAAGGAAUCAAGUGGAAAACUUUAAACUCAGCUCCGGAGGCUGAAACUCCAAGAUUAAGGUGCCAACAGAUUAUUUCUUAGGGAAGGGCCCUCUUCCUGGCUUGUAGAUGGGCCCAUUCUUGCUGAAUUCUCACAUGGCUGAUAGAAGAGACUGGGGUGUCUCUUCCUCUUCCAAAUUCUUGUCUUAUUUUCAUGAUAAACAGACUGAGGACAAAGUUGAAGACUCCGCUGGAUUUUUUAAGUGCAUCAUUGACAAAUGGAGUUCUCCAUUUCCUGACGCUCGACUUUCACAAAUUUUCUUUCUGGGUCUCGUCAAUAAGAGUUUCAUUAUGACACUAACUCAGAAGCUACUUUAAAGAAGUGUGCCUUAUAAAUGGACCUUCCUCUGGGACUAGAAAGAGACCAGAUUCCAGGGUCCUAAAGCAUAAAUAGAACAACAACAACAAAAAAAAAGAAUAAAUAGAAAAGCACAUGGGGAUAUAUAGAAAUGUAUAUCCACCACUGUCUUUCUUAUAAGAUAAAA